GUACAUGCUUAUAGCAUAGUGUUAAUGCAUUGGAUCCCAUUAGAACUUUGUAGUUAAGCACACUCGGGAUAGAGUAGUAUUAGGAUGAGUGACCGCCCAGGAAGUCCUAGUGUUUAAC
rfam:Picea glauca, whole genome shotgun sequence.